rnacentral:rRNA from 1 species
GUGGGGAAUAUUGGACAAUGGGCGCAAGCCUGAUCCAGCCAUGCCGCGUGAGUGAUGAAGGCCCUAGGGUUGUAAAGCUCUUUCACCGGUGAAGAUAAUGACGGUAACCGGAGAAGAAGCCCCGGCUAACUUCGUGCCAGCAGCCGCGGUAAUACGAAGGGGGCUAGCGUUGUUCGGAAUUACUGGGCGUAAAGCGCACGUAGGCGGACAUUUAAGUCAGGGGUGAAAUCCCAGAGCUCAACUCUGGAACUGCCUUUGAUACUGGGGGUAUUGAGUAUGGAAGAGGUAAGUGGAAUUCCGAGUGUAGAGGUGAAAUUCGUAGAUAUUCGGAGGAACACCAGUGGCGAAGGCGGCUUACUGGUCCAUUACUGACGCUGAGGUGCGAAAGCGUGGGGAGCGAACAGGAUUAGAAACCCCGGUAGUCC